rnacentral:rRNA from 1 species
AGAGUUUGAUCCUGGCUCAGAACGAACGCUGGCGGCAGGCUUAACACAUGCAAGUCGAACGCCCCGCAAGGGGAGUGGCAGACGGGUGAGUAACGCGUGGGAACGUACCUUUCGCUUCGGAAUAUUCCCGGGAAACUGGGAGCAAUGCCGAAUACGCCGUAUUGGGAAAGAUUUAUCGGCGAAAGAUCGGCCCGCGUUAGAUUAGCUAGUUGGCGGUGUAAUGGACCACCAAGGCUACGAUCUAUAGCUGGUCUGAGAGGAUGAUCAGCCACACUGGGACUGAGACACGGCCCAGACUCCUACGGGAGGCAGCAGUGGGGAAUCUUGGACAAUGGGCGCAAGCCUGAUCCAGCCAUGCCGCGUGAGUGAAGAAGGCCUUAGGGUUGUAAAACUCUUUCGCCGGUGAAGAUAAUGACGGUAACCGGAGAAGAAGCCCCGGCUAACUUCGUG